rnacentral:rRNA from 1 species
GAUGAACGCUGGCGGCGUGCCUAAUACAUGCAAGUCGAGCGAACAGACGAGGAGCUUGCUCCUCUGACGUUAGCGGCGGACGGGUGAGUAACACGUGGAUAACCUACCUAUAAGACUGGGAUAACUUCGGGAAACCGGAGCUAAUACCGGAUAAUAUAUUGAACCGCAUGGUUCAAUAGUGAAAGACGGUUUUGCUGUCACUUCUAGAUAGAUCCGCGCCGCAUUAGCUAGUUGGUAAGGUAACGGCUUACCAAGGCAACGAUGCGUAGCCGACCUGAGAGGGUGAUCGGCCACACUGGAACUGAGACACGGUCCAGACUCCUACGGGAGGCAGCAGUAGGGAAUCUUCCGCAAUGGGCGAAAGCCUGACGGAGCAACGCCGCGUGAGUGAUGAAGGUCUUCGGAUCGUAAAACUCUGUUAUUAGGGAAGAACAAAUGUGUAAGUAACUAUGCACGUCUUGACGGUACCUAAUCAGAAAGCCACGGCUAACUACGUG